rnacentral:rRNA from 1 species
UUCCGUAGGUGAACCUGCGGAGGGAUCAUUACCGAGUUUACAACUCCCAAACCCAUGUGAACAUACCUAUUGUUGCUUCGGCGGGAUUGCCCCGGGCGCCCCGUGUGCCCCGGAUCAGGCGCCCGCCUAGGAAACUUAACUCUUGUUUUAUUUUGGAAUCUUCUGAGUAGUUUUUACAAAUAAAUAAAAACUUUCAACAACGGAUCUCUUGGUUCUGGCAUCGAUGAAGAACGCAGCGAAAUGCGAUAAGUAAUGUGAAUUGCAGAAUUCAGUGAAUCAUCGAAUCUUUGAACGCACAUUGCGCCCGCCAGUAUUCUGGCGGGCAUGCCUGUCUGAGCGUCAUUUCAACCCUCAUGCCCCUAGGGCGUGGUGUUGGGGAUCGGCCAAAGCCCGCGAGGGACGGCCGGCCCCUAAAUCUAGUGGCGGACCCGUCGUGGCCUCCUCUGCGAAGUAGUGAUAUUCCGCAUCGGAGAGCGACGAGCCCCUGCCGUUAAACCCCCAACUUUCCAAGGUUGACCUCAGAUCAGGUAGGAAUACCCGCUGAACUUAAGCAUAUCAAUAAGCGGAGGAA